UACGGAGGGUGCAAGCGUUAUCCGGAUUUACUGGGUUUAAAGGGUGCGUAGGCGGCUUCUUAAGUCUGGUGUGAAAUCUCCCGGCUCAACUGGGAGGGUGCGCCGGAUACUGAGGGGCUAGAGUGUAGGAGAGGAAAGUGGAAUUCCUGGUGUAGCGGUGAAAUGCGUAGAUAUCAGGAGGAACACCGGUGGUGUAAACGGCUUUCUGGACCAUAACUGACGCUGAGGCACGAAAGCGUGGGUAGCAAACAGG
rnacentral:rRNA from 1 species